AGUUUAAUUUAGGAAAACUGGGAAAAUACCAAGGUAAGUGGAUUUCACCUCCUUCCUCUGCCAGAUUGACUGGGGCAGUCCUGGAGCAGCAGUUCAGGGUUGGAGAAGGGUCAGUGCACAAAAUGUUCCUGAAAGGCUGGCUUAGACCAGCCUGAUGGAGGAACGGAAUUCAGCUCCAGGUACAUGCCCCCUGCUGUGCGGCAGACGGACACACAGUGAUACUUUUAGGACAGUUCUUGGGGAUGGAGGGAGUGGGGAGAUGAGCAUUGUGUUUGCUUUGCUCCAGGCCCUGGGAACUUAACUUUAAAGGCAGGGACCACUAGGUCCAGGUAUGUAUAGGUAAUGAUACCUUGAAAGGAUGUUUCAGGUAGAAAAUUUAUGAAGUCCAAAGAAUUGGUUGAAAAAGCUUGAACUUGCUCUUUGUCCUGAGAUUGUACAAAGCUGUGGAUUUUGAUGUCUUUCCUCACACAGGAACUGCUGGAAGCCUCUCUGGUCCAUUACUCAGAUGUAGGUGUCAUUCUUGUCCUGGGCCUGUCUGCCUGUUUUUGUGGACAUUGGCUUCUUGGCCACCCACCCUCAUCGCUGCCUGAGAAUUCUUGGUCUUUGCUGGCCAAUGGUGAGCCCUGGUGCAGGAUGCUUUGGCUCUCUGAAUCCCUAACCUGAGCCCUCUUAGUAGGUGGUUUCUCGGGGUAUAUACUCUUUCCCAUACUGCGGCCACAGGAGGGCAGUUUUAACACCCCUAGAAGACCCUUAGAUCAGAUUUCUCGAUGGGCAGCCCUGAAAUCCUUUCUGUAUAGUGUUAGGUAGUACCGCCCCCAGGCAACAAGACUUUGGAGAAUUACCACUGACUGUGCACUGGCCAAGGACAGAUGACUUCCUGAACCUGGAACUCUCCUUUUCUGGGUGAAAGCACCACUGGGGUUCAAAGGGAUCCCUGAUGUCCAAUUCCAGUCACCUAGGGAAUCUUGACAAGGUCAUCCUUAUCUGGGACCACACCAUCAGUGUGUGUGUGUGUGUGUGUGUGCGUGUGUGCGUGCGUGCGUGCGUGCGUGUGUGUGUGUGUGUGUGUGUGUGUGUGUGUGGUGUUACCACAGGAAGAGCUGCUGCACGGAUUUUCUAAUUCCUUCUUUGUGCCUUGUUGGAUACUAGAACCCUCCUCUCUGCUACCUUUCAAUCCAGACGUCUACCUUUUCUGGCUUAAAAUUGACCUUUCUAAAGCUUUCCCUGACUACAACAUGCUGUGAUGACUUUUGCAUUAUUUUUGUAAUCUUAAAAUUUGGUUAAUGCCUCUUUCAGUAUUUUUAUCUCCUAUGUAUUGUAUAGUACGAUGUUUAGCACACAAUACACAUGUAAAUAGUGCCUGUGACUUAACUAGUGAUGUACCCCAUACAUCUGAUGGAGCCAAUGAGCCAUCAGAUGGAAUAAGUAUUUCUGGGAAGCAAGCCAUUAUCCAAGGAAUGAUGCAAAAUAGGAAAGACCAGCUCUGUCAGUUCUCUUUGGUUGCAGAUAUGUAGGAAGUGGUCUAUGAAUACUGCAUUUGCCUAGAAAUACCUAUCAGUAAGGAAGUCUCAAUGAUUUUGUAGAAAAAUACUGUGGCAUCUGCUAAAUCCUUUCCUUGGAAUUGCCUCUUGGUCUCUAACGUGGAAUAUCAAUCUCUUUGGAGCUUUCAGUUACUAGAGGGGAAGCUUCAUGCCAGGGCCUAAAGGCAUUUGCUAAUAAUGCUUGCUUGAGAAUAAAUGUGCGAUAAGAAAAUAUGCUGGGAAAUCCAUUAUUUGCCUUCAUGAAGGGCUAGUUUUUGUGGACUCUUCGGAGGAGUCGUGCUCCGAGGGCAGGACAUGUGUCUUAAUCCCCAGCACCAGCCCAGCGCCUUCUUUGAAGGCGGCACUCAGACAUUUAUGGUAAAUGAAUGGAUAUUUUAAUUAGCUUGGAUAUCAUCAUUUUGGUGCCUGUGAGCAUGUUAUAGAACAUGAUCUCAUUUAUAAUAGGGAAUGAUUAAGCCACAAUGAAUUUGUGCUGUUAUUUAAAAAUAUCACAAUUUAGCUGUGUAACUGGUAACAAUUUUGAAUUUGUGCUGUUGGGGUGUUUGGUAAAAAUGGUAUAGAAAUACUAUUACUACUAUCAUAUGUAUGUAUUACUAGUAAUAAUUAGUAUGUAUAUAUAUGCAUACACACACAUACACUCACACAGAUAUAUCACAUAUGCUAGGCAUUGUUUUUAACAGAAUUAAUUCUAACAGUAACCCUGUGAAUAAAUACUCUCAUUUUUCACCUGAGGAAGCUGAGGCAGAGAGAAAUUGUGACUUUCCAGAGCUCAGUAGCAGAGGUGAGAUUUGAAAGCCAGGCAGUCUAGCUGAAGAAGCCAUGCUAUUAACCAGUAAUUCAUACAGCCUCACACGCUGUUCAGAAUCUAUCCAUACCAACAAGUACAGGCAGGGAUGGGUUUCAUACUCAGGUAAAACAUACAAAUGGUUAAUUCUUUUUUAUAUUAUUUAUUUAUUUAUUUAUUUUAUUUUACUGCUUUUUAGGGCUAUAUCUGGGGCACAUGGAACUUCCCAGGCUCGGUGUCAAAUCAGAGCUGCAACUGCCAGCCUAUGCCACAGCUCAUAGCAACGCUGGAUUCUCAACCCCCAGAGCAAAGGCAGGGAUCUAACUCACAUUCUCAUGGAUACUAGUCAGGUUCAU
rnacentral:lncRNA from 1 species